rnacentral:rRNA from 1 species
UACGGAGGGUGCAAGCGUUAAUCGGAAUUACUGGGCGUAAAGCGCACGCAGGCGGUUUGUUAAGUCAGAUGUGAAAUCCCCGGGCUCAACCUGGGAACUGCAUUUGAUACUGGCAAGCUUGAGUGUGGUAGAGGGUGGUAGAAUUCCAGGUGUAGCGGUGAAAUGCGUAGAGAUCUGGAGGAAUACCGGUGGCGAAGGCGGCCCCCUGGACGAAGACUGACGCUCAGGCGCGAAAGCGUGGGGAGCAAACAGG